ACCUUCUGUGGUGUAGUGGUAGCGCCUUGGCUUAGUAAUCAUAUCUCCUGGGUUCGAAUCCCAGUCGGGGUA